CCGACGCAGAGUCGCUGUAAUAAAUGCUCGGGGAGUUAUAGAGCGAAAGGAUACGAUCCCAGUGAUUAAUGCCAAAGCCCUGUUGCCUGUGGAGAGGGUGAUGCUUGACUUUCUUGUACUGCUGCAGUUUGUGGGGUGAAGGUGCUCCCACAAUGUGGUUGGGAUACUACAGGUGGACAUUCAGAUGGUAAUCUCAGUCAUUGUAACACCAAACUCUGAUUGAAUUAGUUAAUUCAUCAGGACCUGGAUAUUCGCAUUGUGUGGUGCUAGAUGGUGAAGAUUUGCAGACUGAAAUCUCAAAAUCAUGUGCAGAUUGUGAUUAUGUUAACCAGCAUUUGAAGAACCAAAGAUAGAGAAUCACUCGGCCAAAAUCCUGCAACACUCACACACAGCAUUGUCGGUCUAUCUGCACCAAAUGGACUGUGAAUGGUUCAAGACAGCAGCUCACUCCCAUCUUCUCAAGGGUAACUAGAGAUGGGGAAUAAAUGCUGGCUGAGCCAGUGAUGCCCAUAUCCUGGAAAUGGUUUCUAUCUCUAGUUGCUGAACCCCAGUUGAUGUUACUGCAGGAUGGUGAGGGACGCUGAGUGCAUCCUCCAGGAGGCAGCACCAUCACAUUACCCCUGCCUACACCCACACAGUAACACCGCAACGUCACUGGAACAAAAGGCAGUGAAGCCAAAGGAGGACUUAGAUAUAGUUCUUCGAGGUAAAGUCAUGAAAGGGGAUUGGAACACAGCAGGAACAGGAGACUGAGCUGGAUGGUCAGCUGUUUCCCAUUGAAUGGUGGAGCAGGAUUGAAAGGCUGAAUGGUCUCCUCCUGCUGCUAUCUCCCAGGUAUGUAUAUAGCCAUGGAGCCCGGGUAGGAAGGAGUGGGCAGGGAUUCUCCAGGAGAUUGCACUUCCACAACAGGUUUCAGUGAGGGAAGGUUUGAUGGAUUUUAUUUAACAUUUAUCUUUAACACAAAGUUUGUAAAUUUUGGUUUUAAAAUGUUGUAAAAGUUUUUUGCACAGCAAAUAAAAUUAAAGAAAA